CUCUGGAAUUCCUCGUAGGUGAUCACCCGGGACGUCUUCGCUCUGCAACGUUUCCACAACACUGUUCUGAAGUGGAUUUAUAAUCUACUACUGUCAGAAAACAACACUGUUCUGAAGUGGAUUUAUAAUCUACUACUGUCAGAAAACAACACUGUUCUGAAGUGGAUUUAUAAUCUACUACUGUCAGAAAACAACACUGUUCUGAAGUGGAUUUAUAAUCUACUACUGUCAGAAAACAACAGCCGUUCCACAACACUGUUCUGAAGUGGAUUUAUAAUCUACUACUGUCAGAAAACAACACUGUUCCACAACACUGUUCUGAAGUGGAUUUAUAAUCUACUUCUGUCAGAAAAACAACACUGGUCCACAACACUGUUCUGAAGUGGAUUUAUAAUCUACUACUGUCAGAAAACAACACUGUUCUGAAGUGGAUUUAUAAUCUACUACUGUCAGAAAACAACACUGUUCUGAAGUGGAUUUAUAAUCUACUACUGUCAGAAAACAACACUGUUCUGAAGUGGAUUUAUAAUCUACUACUGUCAGAAAACAACACUGUUCUGAAGUGGAUUUAUAAUCUACUACUGUCAGAAAACAAC